rnacentral:rRNA from 1 species
AUUGAACGCUGGCGGCAGGCCUAACACAUGCAAGUCGAGCGAGCGGCGGACGGGUGAGUAAUGUAUGGGGAUUUGCCCGAUAGAGGGGGAUAACUACUGGAAACGGUGGCUAAUACCGCAUACUAUCGGAUGAACCCAUAUGGGCUUAGCUAGUAGGUGGGGUAAAGGCUCACCUAGGCGACGAGCGCUAGCUGGUCUGAGAGGAUGAGCAGCCACACUGGGACUGAGACAAGGCCCAGACCCCUACGGGAGGCAGCAGGGGGGAAUAUUGCACAAUGGGCGCAAGCCUGAGGCAGCCAUGACGCGUGUAUGAAGAAGGCCUUAGGGUUGUAAAGUACUUUCAGCGGGGAGGCGUUACCCGCAGAAGAAGCACCGGCUAACUCCGUGCCAGCAGCCGCGGUAAUAC